rnacentral:rRNA from 1 species
UGGGGAAUAUUGCACAAUGGGGGAAACCCUGAUGCAGCGACGCCGCGUGAGCGAAGAAGGCUUUCGAGUCGUAAAGCUCUGUCCUAUGAGAAGAUAAUGACGGUAUCAUAGGAGGAAGCCCUGGCUAAAUACGUGCCAGCAGCCGCGGUAAUACGUAUGGGGCGAGCGUUAUCCGGAAUUAUUGGGCGUAAAGGGUACGUAGGCGGUUUUUUAAGUCAGGUGUCAAAGCGUGGAGCUUAACUCCAUUAAGCACUUGAAACUGAAAGACUUGAGUGAAGGAGAGGAAAGUGGAAUUCCUAGUGUAGCGGUGAAAUGCGUAGAUAUUAGGAGGAAUACCGGUGGCGAAGGCGACUUUCUGGACUUUUACUGACGCUCAGGUACGAAAGCGUGGGGAGCAAACAGG